rnacentral:rRNA from 1 species
CCUACGGGAGGCAGCAGUGAGGAAUAUUGGUCAAUGGACGAGAGUCUGAACCAGCCAAGUAGCGUGAAGGAUGAAUGCCCUAUGGGUUGUAAACUUCUUUUAUAUGGGAAUAAAAUGUUCCACGUGUGGGCUUUUGUAUGUACCAUAUGAAUAAGGAUCGGCUAACUCGGUGACAGCAGCCGCGGUAAUACGGAGGAUACGAGCGUUAUCCGGAUUUAUUGGGGUUACAGGGAGCGGAGGUGGAUUGUUAAGUCAGUUGUGAAAGUUUGCGGCUAAACCGUCAAAUUGCAGUUGAAACUGGCAGUCUUGAGUAGCGUAGAGGUGGGCGGAAUUCGUGGUGUAGCGGUGAAAUGCUUAGAUAUCACGAAGAACUCCGAUUGCGAAGGCAGUUCUCUGGACUGCAACUGACACUGAGGCUCGAAAGUGUGGGUAUCGAACAGGAUUAGAUACCCUUGUAGUC